CUAGCCGCAGGCUGAGUGGGAAAAUCCAGCAAGGUCUGUCUGCGGAGGUUUCCUCUUGGCCUCUGUGCAGCAAUCCUUUCUCCACGGUGUGGGGCAGGACCUCCUCUGAAACACAGCUCACACGACCUGUGAUCAAACAAGUGUUAUUUGUUUGGAGGGAGAGGUGCAACCAAAUGUUAAUUAUUUGUGCCAUAAUGACAAGAAGUUCGUGAAUCGAGUUUACAUAUUUAUACAUCUAUGCUGGCUGAAGAUUUACAUCUUGUAUCCAAUGCAUGUUGCUGACGUUAUGCUCUGCAGAUUCUCAUUACACCGAGUUCUUCUGUGUUCAUCUGCUUCCUCAAGGCCAUGAUCCAUUACAUCUGUCUCAGCUCAGCUGAUGCUCUGGCAGUGGUUCUCUGCACUGAGCAUUGCUGCCACACACCUUUGGUCUUUAAACCUGAACUGAAAUGAAGCUUAAACUAAAAUGUAGAGGGCAAAUGGUGUGCAAAACAAAAUUUAAAUAGUAGUGAUUAAUCUUUCCAAUGAAGUUUUUUGGUUCUAGCCCAUUAAUUUUCAAUGAACGUUCAUUAAGUACUUAUCAUGUACUAGCCACCAUCUUACCUCCAAAAAUAAAGAUGAUAGAUAAAUGA